rnacentral:lncRNA from 1 species
AGACCAUUGCUGAUGCACAUCUGAAAUCUUCUGAACACAUUUCCCAGUGACCCCGAACACUAUUAUGAAGUAUACCUUCAGUCACAAGGCCCCACUGCCCUUGCAUUCCACAGGAAGUCCCAGUUGCUGGCAUGACCUGAGAGGUUCCUGGGACCACGCCAUGGAAAUGCGUCCGGUCCCAGUGUGACGGGGAAGAGCCGCGCCUGAAGCUCAACUUCCGAGGCUCUCAUCAAUCUACGCUUCCUUUGGAGCGUGCAGCCACCAGGUGGCAGCCGAGGCCACGGGCAGACAGAAAAGCUCCCGAAACUGAAGGACUGCCAGGCAGCAGAGUUCCGGAGGGCUCCCAGGACCUUCAACCAGAAAGAGACAGAGCAUAUGCGCAUAUGUAUGUCUGAGCCCGUGCACGGAGGAGGAGUAUGAACAGACACCGCGGGACAGAUGGCUGGAGUUUAGUCCCUUCCUUCGGGGCUCUUCACCACUCCUUGGGCUUCCCUUCUCCUGUCCAGCCCUGUCCUGGGUGCACAGAGAGGGAAGUCACUCCAUUCCUGCCCUUGAGGAGCUCCCAGACCCAGGGCAGGAGCAGGAUGCAGACAAGUAGACAGCACCCUGGGCCCUGCAAGGAAUGUACUAUAGAGCCAAUUUUACCGGCAAAGGAAUGGAAGAUCUGAAAGGCUAGGCGAUCCCACAAGCAUCGAGGAGCAGGCUGGAAUUUGAACCAAUCGGCAUGAUUCCCAAGCUCAAGCUUUUGGCCACCCCUGCACUGCCAGGGACAAAAAAAAAAAAAAAAAAAAACCCUGGGAGGAGAGCCAAGCUAGGGAGUCAAGACCCUCCAGCCAGGUCUGGAUGGGAGGCAGGUGCCUCCACCCUGGUCCCAGAGCAAGUUCUGCUGGCUUCAGCCACCUGACUUCCCUGUGAAGGUGGGUAGAGGCCAGAGCAGACUGUGUGUGAUUCUGGCCCCAGCCCCAGCACCUCUACCCCCACCUUUACUACCCCUAGGCUGCGGGAAGAGGCUUUGCCCAGCAAUAGUCCUGAUCUAAUGGAUCCUUGAAGCACAAUAAACAGAUAGUAUUUCUGCAUGUGUCACUCUGAGUAUGACGGCAGUAAUCUUGAAACUCCCCUUGAC